CACCGCGGUUAUACGAAAGGCCCAAGUUGAUAGUCAACGGCGUAAAGGGUGGUUAGAGAAAAUUUUACACUAAAGCCGAACGCCCUCCGGGCCGUUGUACGCAUACCGAGGGUGAGAAGCCCAACCACGAAGGUGGCUUUAUUAAUCUUGAAUCCACGAAAGCUAAGGCA
rnacentral:rRNA from 1 species